CCUACGGGAGGCAGCAGUAAGGAAUAUUGGUCAAUGGACGAAAGUCUGAACCAGCCAUGCCGCGUGAAGGAUGAAGGUCCUCUGGAUUGUAAACUUCUUUUAUCUGGGACGAAAAAAGGGCUUUCUAGCUCACUUGACGGUACCAGAGGAAUAAGCACCGGCUAACUCCGUGCCAGCAGCCGCGGUAAUACGGAGGGUGCAAGCGUUAUCCGGAUUUACUGGGUUUAAAGGGAGCGUAGGUGGGCAGGUAAGUCAGUGGUGAAAUCUCUGGGCUUAACCCGGAAACUGCCAUUGAUACUAUCUGUCUUGAAUAUCCUGGAGGUAAGCGGAAUAUGUCAUGUAGCGGUGAAAUGCUUAGAUAUGACAUAGAACACCCAUUGCGAAGGCAGCUUACUACGGGAUUAUUGACACUGAGGCUCGAAAGCGUGGGGAUCAAACAGGAUUAGAUACCCUGGUAGUCCCACGACCGUAACGAUAGAUACUACGACAUACAGCGAUAC
rnacentral:rRNA from 1 species